GCCUGGAUAAGCUCAGUUGGUUAGAGCAUGGUGCUGAUAACAUCAAGGCUGCAGGUUCAAUCCCUGUAUGGGACU
rnacentral:tRNA from 1 species